UGAAAAUCAAAUAUUAAAAUAUAAUAAUUGGAACGAUACAGAGAAGAUUAGCAUGACCCCUGCGCGAGGAUGACACGCAAAAUCGUAAAGCCUUUCUAAUAUUU